AACGUAGGAGACGAACGUUAUCCGGAGUUACUGGGCGUAAAGGGCGUGCAGGCGGUCUGAUAAGUUCGGCGUGAAAUAUUCCGGCUUAACCGGGAUAGGUCGUCGGAGACUGUCGGACUAGAGGGUGAUAGAGGCGUGUGGAAUUCCGGGUGUAGUGGUGAAAUGCGUAGAGAUCCGGAGGAACACCAGUGGCGAAGGCGACACGCUGGGUCACACCUGACGCUAAAGCGGCGACAGCAUGGGGAGCGAACGGG
rnacentral:rRNA from 1 species